AGAAACGUGCGGUCGUGCGCUCUCCACGCCUGAAACAUUACGAGAACUGAAACGUUCACUGUUGUCAUUUCAAUUUCUACAUACUUCUUGUUUUUAAUUGCUAAUAGUGACAUAGACUACAAAAAAAGAAUCUAAAUUUUGGUGUGAUAAGACUUGGAAUUGGUGAACUCAAAAUAUUAUAAUGACGUCCCCAGCCAUCACCAAAUCGCCAGAAAAGCAAGGUGACAAGAAGUCGCCCACUCAUUCAGGUGGUGUGGAGAGGGCUCCGUCCCCAGAAGCUACAUCAUCUUCGUCUGCCCCUCCGCAGCAACCGGAACCCUUCAGCUGGCUCCGAAUCUUCAAACUAGCAGAUCUCAUGAUGAAACAAGGAUGUUAGAUUAACAUUGUAUGUACAUUCAUGUGUUCUGGAGUAAAGCAAUAAUUUUAUUUUUGAAUCUUAGGCAGAAAUUAUAAAAGAUGCCAUAAUAGUAAAUUAUAUUAGGUAUUUACUGUUUACUAUAGAAUAUUCGUUUAGAUACAUUAUGCAUAGUUCCUUAUUUACACAGUACAAUACCCACCACCACAUGUAUACAAAUGGGAAAUUAUGCAUCAUAUGAAUGAAGAGGUAAGCAGAUGAUGUUUACCUACCCAAGUAGUAAUUGCCUGCCUACUUUUAGGUACCUAACAUUAGAAAAAAUCAUUUAUGCAAGAGAUUCAAUCCACAGCGAAUCAGUGAUAAUAAGUGUAGUGAAAUAUCAAAUACGAACACCGCAAUAAUUUUCACUAGUUAUGACUCGUCAGUUCGAAGACAAAUAUCUAACAAUAUGUGGAUAUUUCAUUCAUUAUUACUCCUCAAUGACAUAGACCAAAUUUUAUAUUUUUAGGUAUUUAAAUCUACGUAUGUAAUAUGUAAUGGUAUUGUCAAUUUUAUUGUAUGUAGGUACUUAUUUGUUGUUUGUUAGUCGCUUUGACAAUUGUUAAGACUUUAUCAUAAUGUCAAAAUAGUUGGGACUUCCAUAUGCCGCCUUAUUUCCUAAAUGUUUUGUGUACUAAUUAUGACUGUUAUUUCGUCUUUGAAUAAAAAAUUAUUCUUAAAUGUUCAAAAAUAUACGUAUCACAUAAUGUCGUAUUUAUCUUAUCAAUUGACCAUCCCACACCCGUAAUUAGUACUAUAUGUCACAGCUGGGUUGCGAUAAGCGUGUAAAUCAAUUUUAAAUAAAUGGCAGGUGAUCGAGAUUCGAAAUAAAAACCACUUUGUGUAUAAUAUUUUUUUUUAAUAGUAUUGGUAGGUAGGAGGUACAUAACACGCAGGAGUCUGGGUUGUUUGGAUAAAGGGAAGUAAAGAUACAAUACUAUUUUCAAUAUGUACAAAAUAUACAAUUAUCUCUAUAACCUAGCUUUUAACUCUACAAUAUAAUUAUGAUCACAAUAUUUUUAUAUCCUUACGCUCUGCUAGAAUCAAAACCGACGUGGUGCCGCUCGGCGUCCGAGUGCGGUAGUUGCAUGACAACAGUCUACCUUUCACUUUUGCUGCACACUUGAGAUCAAAUGUUAUUUUUACAAAUAUUUAAACUCUAACAUCUCCCACACGGCAACAACCGCUCUCGGAGGAAGCACCGCGCACUUAGCCAUUCCAUCCUCAUAUCACCACUGAGAAUAUGUUUUGAGAACAGAAUGACACACAGGCGUAAUCGAUAGAAGUGCUACAUCGCCACGCCUCUCGCGAGCCGGCUAAGAGGCGUCUCGACGUGACAACUUCUCAUUGAACCCACAUUUAACAUAGUAAACAAACAAAACUAUAUUAUACUUCUCACAUUAGUUUACAGUUGUUAUACCUAUUAAGUCUGCAUUAACUUAUUACGACUUAACAUCACUGAGGAAACAAACCAUGAUUU